GGAUAACCAUUGCCAAGUGUUUUGUGCAGCUGUGCGCAAAAGGUGAAAAGUGUAUUUUUGUGACUGUUGACGCUUCUGGAAGGUGAAUUAUGGCGAAACGGAUGAGGAAAACAAAUUAUUCGCUCCAAGAUGUGCUGGAAGAAUGUACUCGGUGUGAAAGAAACGAUCUGGGAAUGAUGUUUCAGAAGUAAAUAGUGAUGAAUCAUGUAUUGACUCCGAGGCAGAUGCAAUGUUUCUGGAGGGAGGAGACAUUACUCUCGACAAGUGUGACUUGACCUGUGGGGGAGGUGUGUUUCAUUGUGUGAACUGAUGAGAUGUGAGGUGAAGAUCAGCACUGGGCAAUGAAGGACAUCCCAGUUCCACCAGCGGUAAAGGAGUACAACCAGUGCAUCGGUGGAGUGGACCUUUCUGACGCCCUGAUAGGGUACUAUAAAGUCAUCCACAAGACCCAGUAGUGGUACAAGACGUUCUUUUAUCAUUUCAUGGACAUGGCAAAUGUGAACACCUUCCUCCUCCACAAAGACAUUGCAAAAGGUAAAGGAGUGGUACCUAUGCACCAGAAGGCAUUCAGAGAGACCCUUGCUGAGGAGCUGGCAGAGUUAGGGUCUCACUCCACAGCCAGACCCAUAUCUCCUGCUCCAUGUAGAGCACAUCACAGGUCAGUGCAAAUCAGUGGACUCGGCACCGCUGGUCGACUGAAGUGCAGGCAGUGUCAUGCAAAGACACCAGUGAAGUGCUCCUCCUGUGAUGUGCCUUUGUGCUUUGUCCCCAAAUGUGACUGCUACAAUGACUGGCGUGUUGCAAAAAACCUGUAAAAGGUAUAAUUGUAUGGAAAUAUUUAAAGUAUGUAAAUAGUUUGUGUAUUUCUUAUAUAAACUGCUUUUCCACUAUAGCACUUGUUUUGACUCUUAUAUGCACAAAGUUUAGUUUCAAGAAGGGGGGAAAAAAGCACUCUAAUGUGUUUAUUCUUCAGUUACUCUGUGUCAGCAAUACUAAUAGUGGAUCUGUGGGAUAUGGGAUAUGAUAGCUCUAAGUGUCACCUUUCAUUAGAGCCCAAAAUGAUGGUACGUUAAAGUGUUCCAAAGUAGUAGCCUUUUUAUCCUAGGUAUGUGGCCAUGGUUACCAAGGGGCCUUUGGAGUAUCCAAAAGGCACUUUUGGAAAACACCUGAACAUACCCUUAGAAAAACAUGUGUAAAAUAUUUAUUUUCUGUUUUAUUGUUAUAAAAUUUGGACUAGGUAAGGCUUCAUGCUGUGGUCCCAUUGUGUUUUCCAGUUAUAGUCAUCUGCAGGCAUCUGUAUGCAACAAAAUAAAAUUCAGGUGGAAAAAAAAGCACUUACAGUGAUUCUGACUGCUGGGGAAAAAACUUCAGAGUGUCACCUUUUAAAAGAGACCUAAACCAUGCAUGUACUCUAAAUUGUUCAACAACAGCUUUAAAUUUACUUUGGGUAUGCCUUGAAUAGGCAUUUUAGGCUAAUUUUACAGGAUUGGGAAGAGGUUCGAG